GACGUUAAUUUUGCUGAAUAAGCCUGGAAGGAACCAUCUUUUGGCAGUAUUGAAACCUUGUAAGUAUGAAGCUUCUUUUGCUCAAGUGACGACUAUAAUUAUAAGUUAUCUUGUCAAUUACAAAUAAAUUGGACUAAUUCAAUUUGCUUUUUUUUGCUCAGACUUGGUCUCAAAGUGAUUUGGCGAUUGACUGUCUUGGAUGAAGCUGACAAAUCUUGCCUAUGAAUAACUGUACAGAUUGAUGUCUUAUGUCCUUUGGUCAGCCAUAGUUGAUGCAAAUGAUGGUUAGGAGAGGAAAUGAAACAAAUGGUUGAAAUACAGAAAUGACAAUAAUGAAGACGGUAAUGAUGAUGAUUACGAUGAUGAUGAUGGUGACAGUUAUUAUUAUGAUAUUACCAUUGUGACUGUAUUUGAUGGUUGCAUAAAUGUGAACAUCUUUUAUGUAUAAAAAGCCACUUAAUCGGCUGCAAAUAUCACUUUCCUUGAGGGAAUUUUAUUCCUCUAUUCUUUCACCUGGAUAUAAACUGGUAAAAUAACAAUAAUACCUUUACUUAUAACAUUCAUUAUUAACCGUUUUUUUUAUUUCAUUUUCAGCCAUUCACUUGUUUGUCAUGACGAUACCUUGAUGAUGGAAAUUUUUGUCCAUUGAAAUUUGAAUCAAAGUUGACCAGUAAAUCUAAAUUACACCAACAAGCUAUCGAGCAAUUGUUCACUCGAAAAGAUUUUGAAUCACCAUUUGAACAUAAGGAUCCACUUUUGCUGGGAGUUACUCUGUGUGAUUCAAUUUUUAAAUCAUCAUAAGUUCCAUUUUGCUCAUUCUGUGAUUUCAACUUGAAAUUUAAUGAUAAUGGUCUUCAAAAAGUAGAUACAGAAGAUUGAAGAUAAUCUAUUCCAUUGAGCUUUUAUGUACUUUUCAAAAAAGCUGUGAUAUAAAGGGAUCAAAUAUUUUCUCAAUUGUAGAAAACAAUUUGCCAUUCAGAUACAGUGUGUCACAAAACAUGAUAGUUUUCCCUUUUCACAAAUGCAUCGAAACUCAUCUUUAAAAAUUUCAUCUCUAUGCUCUAAUCUUCGUAACACAGAUCGGGAUUUUUUCUUCCCUGUUCGGAAUCAUAACUCCCGAUCUAUUGAUGAGCUUAAACCUGUAAAGGCCAACUUUUCAAGUUGAUCAUAAGUCCAAAGGCAAUUCAAAGUACACCUUUAUCUCAGCUAUUUAAAUGACAUUUCAAAGUUACUGAAAGAACAUUUUUGGGAUUGAAUCAUUUUUCCUUCAAAAAGAUAACAUGACUUGAAACAGGUAAGAACUCCCUUUAUUAGAGUUACUUUGAUUUUAUUUAUCUACAUUCAUCUGCGUAUAUAAAUGAUAUAAUUCAUAAUGAUAUGAAACUAGGUUAGUUAACUAAUUGAGUUGGAAAAACUCUUUUUGGGUUUUAAAUUUCAACUUUUAUCGUGAUUGUUGAAGUUGUAGCUAAACUUUUUAAUGAUUGUAAAGUCUCAGUUUCAAUUCCUAUUCAUAGCUGAAAUUUUAGUUACACUAUCCUGUUGAAUAUCAUAUUGUUUUCAAUCAAUUGUACAUAGCCUUUAGAGAUUUACUUGGAGGGACUUACAAAGAAAGUCAAUUGAUGCAUUACCAUGAAAAGUCAACCUUGACUUGCAUUAACUUUUUCUGUGUUUUGCCUCGAGAAGAGAUUUUCACAUUUUAAUGAAGAUCACACCAGUCGAAUGUAGGCCUUCAGGUCCAUCAGAAUUAAGCAUUUUCAUUUUUAGCCAUUGGGUAGUAAAAACAAUGUGAGCAACUGCCGAGUAUUUGAAUUUAGUUUUCUUAAUUCUAUUUGUUCAACAGCUUUGAAGGACGAUUCAUACAUUAACAGGUUGAAGUUGAGUUAAUUUUUUGUUUCUAUUCACAGAUUUCUAUUAUUUAUCAAGUGAUUUUGAUUUGCUGAUUCGCUGUGUCUUGGACCCGAAAAUAACCAACAACUGGAGCUCACAAAAAGAUGAUAUUCA
rnacentral:sRNA from 1 species